GACGAACGCUGGCGGCGUGCUUAACACAUGCAAGUCGAACGAAGAGCGAUGGAAGCUUGCUUCUAUCAAUCUUAGUGGCGAACGGGUGAGUAACGCGUAAUCAACCUGCCCUUCAGAGGGGGACAACAGUUGGAAACGACUGCUAAUACCGCAUACGAUCUAAUCUCGGCAUCGAGGAUGGAUGAAAGGUGGCCUCUACAUGUAAGCUAUCACUGAAGGAGGGGAUUGCGUCUGAUUAGCUAGUUGGAGGGGUAACGGCCCACCAAGGCGAUGAUCAGUAGCCGGUCUGAGAGGAUGAACGGCCACAUUGGGACUGAGACACGGCCCAGACUCCUACGGGAGGCAGCAGUGGGGAAUCUUCCGCAAUGGACGAAAGUCUGACGGAGCAACGCCGCGUGAGUGAUGACGGCCUUCGGGUUGUAAAGCUCUGUUAAUCGGGACGAAAGGCCUUCUUGCGAAUAGGGAGAAGGAUUGACGGUACCGGAAUAGAAAGCCACGGCUAACUACGUG
rnacentral:rRNA from 1 species